rnacentral:rRNA from 1 species
GAGUGCAAUAUGGUAACAUGGAGCUUAAUCUCAUAAAAAUAAGUCUCAGUUCGGAUUGUGGGCUGCAACCCGCCCACAUGAAGUCGGAGUUGCAGUAAUCCCGGAUCAGAAUGCCGGGGUGAAUGCGUUCCCGGGUCUUGUACACACCGCCCGUCACGCCAUGGGAGUUGGGAGUACCCAAAGUCGGUGCGCUAACCGCAAGGAGGCAGCCGCCUAAGGUAAGACCAAUGACUGGGGUGAAGUCGUAACAAGGUAGC